rnacentral:lncRNA from 1 species
AAAUUGAUUAAGUAAGGAAUGACGAUUAGAAUCUAGAAUUUCAAGGCUAAAUAUAUAGAAAUUGUAGAAGAUAUUGGAGGGACCAGAUUGUGAUAGUCAUGAGUUGGGAUAAGCUUGGUGCUAUCUCUUAUUUCUUAUCUAUUUUGUUAUUUUAGGUUUUAAUCACUGUGAUGUAAAUCUAAGGAAUAAAUCAGAGAUUGAUCUAUAAGAUAUUAAGUAUAUAAUUGGAGUAUUGUAUGAUUGAAUUAUUAUGAAAAGAUAUUGAGAGUUUGUUAUCAGAUUCUGUAAGAGAUUGCUCAUAGAUAAAAGAUUAUGAUUGUUGUUAGUUGAGAGUUGUGUGUAUUUUGACAAAAGAAGUCGGUGAUUACAAAAAUUAUAUGAAGCCAGAUUAGUUGAAGUGGAAGUUUAUUAUUUCUGGUAUUGGAUGGA